rnacentral:lncRNA from 1 species
ACCUUUUCAGUUCUUUUAUUUUGCAGGCUUAUAUUUGAUUUCUUCGUUAAACUUAAACGUUCCAGAAAUUUUGACAUUGAACCUUUAAAGCUGCAUCGGCAGGAUGAAGGGUAUUAGUCGAAGGUCUACCUCCCUGCUGCCGCAUUCUUCUCAUUUCAAGUACCAUUUUGCUUGUUUCCGACUCCAUCAAGAACUCAAAUCCUAAGUCGACCUCAUUCUGACGGAAGCAUUCGUGGGAUGAGAGGUUGCAGUGGAAGAAGCUGCGGCUAUUGCUCUCUGGUGAACCGAUUGCAGAAUGGUUCGUGCUCGAUAGAAUCAUUAUCAUAGUCGUCAAAACAAUUGCUAGAUAUAACCCUGUCUUUUGAAGGUCUCCCAUGUUGUUCCUGUCUGCCAAAUUUCUUUUUCCUUAGUGGUUCUACCACUAUUUUAGUAGUGGCUGGUUUGGUGCUAUAAGGACCAGCUGGCUUGUGUGAUUUGACUUUCUGUCAUAGACACAGAAAAAGUUGUGGCCACAAAACUGAGCGCAUGCGAUUGAUUUUUUGCUUUCAAUGUUGUUGUGUCAUAAAUAGUGGCUGAUUACGUGCUAUAAGGACCAAGUGGCAUGUCUUUUUGCUUUCAAUGUUGUUGUGUCAUAAAUAUGGCAUACUGCUUGAGCCAUCGUGCUACUGCUUCUUGUGAGAAUUUGAACUUAAGUUAAAGUUUCAUCUUUGUCCUACAAUGUCUAAGGUUUAUUUUUAUAAAUUUAGCAAUAACAGAGUAUCCGGAGGGCACGAUUUAAAGUACAUUUAUUUAUAAUAAUAUUUUUGCAUUAAAUACAAUAUUUGAACAUUAAUAUGAUAAUGAUUUUUAAUGCAUUUUGUGAAACAAUUUAAAGAGUGUAUAUUAGCAAAACUCAUUUUUUUACUUAUGCUAACAAAAUGGAAAAAAUAUAUAGACAAACAACUAAUAAUGUGACACUAUAUACAAGUGGCUUUGACCUACUUUAAUUAGAGCUAUAUUACACUAUAUGCAAGUGGCACAUCCGGAAAUUUUACUAAUUAAGGAUCCGUUUGUUUUGCAGUAAAAGAUUUUUCAAAAAAUCUUUUUAAGACUUAUGCUUGUUUGGUAGACGAAAAAUUAAAUUUAGAUAUAAAAUAUUUUAAGUGUCAACAAGGUUAACCACGAAAAAUGUAUUACGCCCUUAAAAAGCAUAAGAUAUUUUCUAGAGAACAAUAAAAACACUUUUAUACAAAGUUUAUGAGUAUAAGUUUGAUGAAUAUUAAUAUUUAACUUAAAAUAUUAAAAAAUAUUAAUAUUUAACUUUGAAAUAAUUAAUUUAAAAUAUAAUAUUUAAAUUAUAUAACAAUAUUAAAAUUUAAAAAAAUUAUUUUAAUGAAACCAUUCAAUACAAUUAAUUUUAUAUUUAUAAAUGGAAUAAAUCUUACUAAUAGUUAUAAUAAAAAAUAUUUCAAUGAUUAUCAUUUGAUGAAUACACAUUUAUAAUAGGUUUAAAUCUUACUAAUACUUAUAAUAAAAAAUAUUUCAAUAAUUGUUAUUUAAUGAAUACAUAUUUAUAGACACAAAAAUUGUAACAAAAUGAUAAACAAAAAACGAAUAAAAAUAAAAGAUUAAAAAAAAUGAAUGAUGAAAAAAGAAAAGGGGAGAGGGUACGAUUGGCAGGGUGCGGACGCACCCUGCCAGGCACCUCCCUCACCCUGCUAGACACAAAAAAUUCUCGUCUGGCAGGGUAGUGGAGUGUGCCUCUUCCAAAGCCCAAGAACCAGGUAUAAAAGGGGAGGGGGCACUGUAGCAAUCAGGGGAGGAUAACCUGCAAAAAAAUGAAAAAAAAAAACCUAGCUUUCUAAGCAACCAAGAGCAGCCACAAAUCGCCAAAAAAACAAAAAAAAAUCAAUCAAAUCAAAAAAAUACCCUAAGUUUUUCUAGCAGCUAGAAUCAACACAGCAAAAAAUACACCCAAUAGGUAAAAAAAAAUCAUCAAAUAUAUGCACAAAAAAGGAUAGGAAGCCUUGGGUUUUAGGCUCGCCGCCGGUGAAAGGAAGAAGUAGAGAGAUGAGAGAGUUUGGUUCGAACGACGCCGGUGAGGGGAGCAAAGCCAGAUUUGGGUGACGAAAGUAAAAAAAGGCUUCGGUGGCCGACGGGAAGAGAGAGAGAGGGUGAGAGGCCGACGUCGAAAAAGGGAAAGAGAGGGAGAUCCGAUUUAGUGGGAGCUGGGGCUUUUGGGUUUUACCAACCACCGGUGAAAGGAGAGAAUGAGAUCUUGACCACCGGUGAAAGGAGAGUGAGAGAGAUCUUGACCACCGGUGAAAGGAGAUCUGGAGAUCGGAUCGAGCAGAGUUAAGGGGGUCAGAUUUGGUGGCACGGUUGGCACCGACAAAGAAGAAGAGUUUUCGGGUGGUUGGUGAAAGGAGAAAGGUUCGAGCUGUCCCAGGAAAGAGACAGUCGACCAGUGUAGGAAAGACGUUGCCGGUUUAGGAGAGAGUUGACCGUUGGGUUGGUCGGCGAUUUGUAGAGAGAAGGGAGAGAGUAAGGUCUUUAGAGAGAGAAACUGAAAGAAAAAAAAUGAAGAGAAAAGGGGAAAAAGGAGCUUAUAUAGUAAGAGCGUAGAGGUCCCUAAACAAUGCCGUUCCUAGCUUGUGGGGGAGCCUCUCCUUAUCACACCGAACGACGUCGUUUUGAUAGCUGGGGAGUCACCUUGCGAGAUACCAGGUGGACCGAAGCUUGGAGAAGACCGGCUAUCUUGGGGCCGCUCUUAGCCCAAGAUAGGUAAAUUGCUUUUUUCUUUUGAUUUGUUUUUGUGGUUUGCUUAGCCCAUUGUUUAGAUAUAAAGAUAAUUAGUUUUUUUUUUAAAUUAGAAUAAAAGAUAAUAUAUAUAUACAAAAAAUAAAAAAAAAUUAAAUUAUCAGAUGACAAGAAAAAACAUAUANNNNNNNNNNNNNNNNNNNNNNNNNNNNNNNNNNNNNNNNNNNNNNNNNNNNNNNNNNNNNNNNNNNNNNNNNNNNNNNNNNNNNNNNNNNNNNNNNNNNNNNNNNNNNNNNNNNNNNNNNNNNNNNNNNNNNNNNNNNNNNNNNNNNNNNNNNNNNNNNNNNNNNNNNNNNNNNNNNNNNNNNNNNNNNNNNNNNNNNNNNNNNNNNNNNNNNNNNNNNNNNNNNNNNNNNNNNNNNNNNNNNNNNNNNNNNNNNNNNNNNNNNNNNNNNNNNNNNNNNNNNNNNNNNNNNNNNNNNNNNNNNNNNNNNNNNNNNNNNNNNNNNNNNNNNNNNNNNNNNNNNNNNNNNNNNNNNNNNNNNNNNNNNNNNNNNNNNNNNNNNNNNNNNNNNNNNNNNNNNNNNNNNNNNNNNNNNNNNNNNNNNNNNNNNNNNNNNNNNNNNNNNNNNNNNNNNNNNNNNNNNNNNNNNNNNNNNNNNNNNNNNNNNNNNNNNNNNNNNNNNNNNNNNNNNNNNNNNNNNNNNNNNNNNNNNNNNNNNNNNNNNNNNNNNNNNNNNNNNNNNNNNNNNNNNNNNNNNNNNNNNNNNNNNNNNNNNNNNNNNNNNNNNNNNNNNNNNNNNNNNNNNNNNNNNNNNNNNNNNNNNNNNNNNNNNNNNNNNNNNNNNNNNNNNNNNNNNNNNNNNNNNNNNNNNNNNNNNNNNNNNNNNNNNNNNNNNNNNNNNNNNNNNNNNNNNNNNNNNNNNNNNNNNNNNNNNNNNNNNNNNNNNNNNNNNNNNNNNNNNNNNNNNNNNNNNNNNNNNNNNNNNNNNNNNNNNNNNNNNNNNNNNNNNNNNNNNNNNNNNNNNNNNNNNNNNNNNNNNNNNNNNNNNNNNNNNNNNNNNNNNNNNNNNNNNNNNNNNNNNNNNNNNNNNNNNNNNNNNNNNNNNNNNNNNNNNNNNNNNNNNNNNNNNNNNNNNNNNNNNNNNNNNNNNNNNAUAUAAUUGCAUUAGCCUAGCAUAUAUAUAUGUUGCAUCAUGCAUAUCAUUGCAUAUAAAUAUUUCUGUUUUCGAGUUUAAGCCCCGAUGAUGGGAUCUUCCGAGGAUCUUGCGAAGGCAAGUAUUUCUCAAAAAGUUUCCUAGGUGAAAAGAUGUCCUCGGGUCCCACCAGUAUGAUGGGAGGGCUUGAGAAACAUCUUUAAUAAAAGGCUUUUGCCCGAAUUAAGUUCAUUAUGUACGAAAAUAUUAUUUUAAAAAAGAAAACGUACGAUGACUCUGAUGAUGGGAAUUAUUCGUCAAAUUUGCGAAGGCGAGUUUCUCAGAUAAUUCCCUAGGUGAGAGAAUACCCCGAGUCCCAGCAAUAUGAUGGGCGGAUUCGAAAAAAUAUCCUUUAUAAAAGGUAUACCCCGAGUCCCACCAAUAUGAUGGGCGGAUUCGAAAAAAUAUCCUCUAUAAAAGGUUAUUCAUCCGACAUUUUUAUCUCACACCAUGCAUUUCAUCUUGCCACCCAUUUGCAUUCCAUUUUAGGUUAAAUAGGAGAUAAAAUAGGAGAAUAAUAACUAAGGAAAUAUAGUGAAAUUAAAAAUUAAAGCUUAAUAGGAUAAUCUAAAAAUGGUACUGUUUAUGGAACGGGCAUCCCGGGGGUGCUAAUCCUUCCCCGUGUGUAACCGUACUCCCGAACUUAGAUCUAGAAAAACGUAGACCAGUUUAAAGUUCUUUUCGAUGGGCCUAAAAUUAAUUUAAGGUUUCAUCGAUUAGGAUCGAGUCAAUAAGUGGCCAAUCGCACCUAGUAAAAAAAAAAGAUUGGUGGCGACUCCUAGUUUAAUUUUUAGUGAGUUUUCACAUCACGUCUGGUAGUCGGGUUCCCGGACCCGCACGUUACAACAGCUGGCGACUCCACUGGGGACUUGCCAAGAGUCGAAUCAUUAAAUAAUAAUAGGUUAUCCAAGGCUUUAAAUAAUUCGAUGUUUCCUUAGUAUUAAUGAUUUGUUCUGCAUUUUUGUUUGGUGCAUUCAUUUGUUUCGCAUUUAUUACUUUAUUGCUUUUAAUAAUUGUGGGGGAUUUAGGAUAAAGGGAUGUGAGAUUGUUACUCCGAACUCGAUGUUUCAUUCACACACACAACACAUUUUGCAUUCAUGUAUAAACCCUCCACCCGGGUUAUGUCCCUUUUAGGAGGGAGUUUAGUAGCUACGCUCUCGUGAGGUGAUAACCUCCACACGGGCUAGUGAAGACUCCCACUCAAAUUGAACCUAGUCCGUUUAAAGCCUGUAAUGGGUGAAGACUGGGGUGCCUUACUAGUCGGCGUGGACGACAGUGAGGAACGAUUUGGGAACCUUAGCUCUGUCUAUAAUCCUAACCCAGCAUAUAGAACACCGAGAGCAGCUUAAUCUUAGGUAGGGCCACACCCGUGAGAGUAAACCUUAUAAAUGAGUACACAUGAAGGAAUUUCUUCCACUCCCUCUAUUUUAAAUUAUGCCAUGAGAUAAUAAAGUAUCGUGGAGUAGACAAUAAUACCCAUGAUAUUGCUUAUUAUUCUCUUAUUAUUUUUAACACUCCAUUCUUUCUUUUUACCAUACUAACUUAAGUUUAUUUUGCUUGUCAUGCGCAUGUUACAUGUUCAUUUGCAUGCAUCGUAAUUGCAUAUAAGAGAAAUAUUGGCUACACAACAUCCAACCUAAGAGAUCCCAGUUACAUCCAUGGCAUCGUCAUUGGCAGAUCCGCUCAAUAUAUACAGAAAUGACUAUGAGAUAGAGUUACAGAUGGGACAGAUCCAACAAAAAAAAAGAAACCGUUUGACCCAAGGACAUGUCCCAACUUUACCCGAGAAAGUUCACUUGGACCUUCAACAGAACGACUUCACAGAAAUGAUAGGGAUUUGGGAACAGUGGAGACGUGCUCACCGAGACAAUUUUUAGAACAAGUAUGGACACAUUGCAUGGCUCCUAUAUGUACCCGUUGAUGACCAGAUGCUCCGAGCCAUUGUCCAGUUUCGGGAUCCCUCAUACCGUUGCUUUGUCUUUAACAAGGUGGACAUGACCCCUACCAUAGAAGAGUACUCUUCUCUACUCCGGAUAGAUCACAUGUAGCCUGACAAGAUCUAUUGGAGGGCCCAAAAGACGGGACACCGACGAAAGUUGGCCAAGUUGUUAGGAAUGACUACGGUAGAAGUGGAUCAGCAUUUGAAGAAGAAAGGAGACACAGAAUGCCUUCCGUGGAGUUUCUUGAAUUGAUUUAUUAAAAAACACAUGGAGGAUGAACAAGGUCUCCUAGCUUUCGCAAUGGCAAUCUAUGGCUUAGUGGUCUUCCCGAAGAUUCUAGGUCACGUGGAGGUAUCAGUCAUAGACUUCUUCAAUCAUGUGACAAGGAACAUCAACCCGGCCCCAUCCAUCUUAGUUGAAACCUUUAGAUCCUUGAAUUUUUGUCGACGCAAAGGCGAGGGACGAUUCAUCGGAUGCGUUCAACUCUUAACCAUAUGGAUCAAAAGCCACUUCGAAUGCAAAGAGAGUAAAUUUUGGAAGCUUUAUCUGUCUGCGAGUUGUCCUAUCCUUGAGUUCUGCGAAAGUGAAUGGCCCGACUGCAAGAGGAAGGAAAAAUGGGUCGCAAGGCUCCGAAGGUUAAUGAGCGUUGAAGUGACUUGGAGAGCUCCAUGGAUGCCACGAAUGCAAGUAAUGUAUAAAUGCGGGGACAAGCUAUGGGUGCCCCUGAUGGGACCAUGAGGAGCCAUUAGUUAUGCACCGAUAAUGGUAUGGAGAUAGUUCGAAUCUGAACAGUUUGUGCCCAUGACUCAUCAGCUCAACCAGUUAGAGUUCACAUAUGAAGAGCCGACAACGCUAAAGAAAAUUGAGGAAAUUGCACAAGAUUAGAAGAAAACGUGCCAAGUAGAUUAAAGGAGGGUUACCGAUGAAGUCACUAUAGGAUAUGAUGCUUGGCACGACCAAAGGGUGAAGAAUGUCGUAUGCCCCUCAAAAAAUUCAUCACAACAUCCCAUAAACCUAAAGCCUCAAGAUGUCCUACUAGAGACCGAGUUGACAAGAAAGAGACUUGAAAAGGAGAUGAUGAAUAUGAAACGGAGAUAUGAGGAUGAGCUAGAAGAAAUGAAGAAAGAGACGGCAAGAAAGGUACGGAUGGCUUUGAAGGAGCGGGAUGAGUGGCAUAGCAAGUUUGAGGAAGUGAACGUGACAAAUUCUUCUCUGAUAGCCAGAAUGUAAGAACUCCAAAAUGCCAAUAAUGUUUUGCAGCACGAGGUACGAAGACAAAAACAAACUAUCCAAGAGUUGAGAAGUGACUGCGACUUAGAGACUACCAUGGAAGGCUACAAGGCACAGUAUGAAGCAGUAAGACGAGAGUAUUUCCAAAUGAAGGAAAGAAAUGAUUCGUGCACACAAAGCCUUCAAAGGAAAGAAGUUGAAAUGCGAUGGAUACUGAGACAGAUGAGAGAAGUGGUAUUUAGAGCUCGAGUGAUGGCAAACAAAACCAAAGAACUCAGACAAGAGAUUCUUUCAAGAGAUGAAUUGAGUGAGCGGUUGAUCGAUCACCUCAGGAUGGUUAGGGACCAAUAUGACAAAGUUAGUUUUUCCUUUUGAUAGUUAUGUAAUGGUUUUAGACAAUGAUGUAAUCGGAUAUUUAAGUUUUAUGGAUGCGGAUUUUCUUAUGGUAAAUGUUGGAUGGCUAAUAUUUUUCUUAUUUUUUUCUUUUCAAUACAUUUCAUUUGCAUCAUAAUUGCAUGAUCUAAAUGAAAGUGAUAAAUAAUAAUGCAUUCAACAUAAAAUUCUAACUUAUCCCUUGAACCAAUAGAACAAAAUUUCAGAGAAACAAACUCUCCACAGAUACAAUACAAGAGUCCGUUCUAAGAUCAUGGGGGACGAGCAUUCGGAGAGGAUGGACAAGAUUGAGAAGAAGUAAGAAGAAAUCAUGGGUCAGUUAUAAAAAAUUUUGGAGUUGAUAUCUACAAAUAAAGAGAAGAUAGCGGUAGAGAGUUCUGGUGCACCAGAAGACAUUCAACAGACAAAAGCUAAUACAGACCCUGUGUAUCCACCAGGAUUUACACCACCACCUGCAAGGAAUGCAUCUAUUCUCAUGCCAUCAAUGGGUCAAUAUCUAUUUUUUGGGAUACCAAUAGGGCCAUCGCCGACUUAUGCCCAACAAAGGCCAAUUGGAGGGGCAAGUCCUUUAAAUCCCAUCUUUGUACCUGAUCUAGACGAUCCAAAGGAACAAGAGAAGCUCAAAUGUGGAUCCGUUGAAUCGAAGGACAAUCCUGAUACCCACCAAAAAUUUGACCUUUUUGAAGAGAGACUACGCAUGAUAGAAGGAAUGGGAAUGUAUUGUUUUAUGGAUGCAAUUGAACUCUGUCUUGUUCUAAAUGUGGUUAUACCCCUAAAAUUCAAAGUUCCAGACUUUGAGAAGUAUGAUGGAACCAAGUGCCUGGUCAAACACAUCACCAUGUAUUAUAGAAGGAUGGUCGCAUAUGCUCAUAAUGACAAACUCUUGAUACAUUGCUUCCAAGAUAGCCUUACUGGUGCUGCAGUAAAGUUGUACGUCCAAUUAGACUGCAAUCAAAUUCACACAUGGAAAGACCUUACUCGGGCUUUUAUAGCUCAGUAUAAGCAUGUUAUAGAUAUGGCUCCGGAUCGCCUUUCUCUACAAAACAUGGAGAAGAAACCCACUGAAAGCUUCAAAGAAUAUGCUUAGAGAUGGAGGAAUGUGGCCUCUCAAGUUUAGCCAUCAUUAACUGAGAAAGAGACCACCGUAAUGUUCGUUAACACCCUGCGGGCCCCUUACUAUGAAUGAUUGGUCGGUAGUGCCACAAAAAACUUCGCUGAUAUGGUGAUCUUAGGAGAGAUGAUAGAAAUUGCCGUUAAGCAAGGAAAGAUAGAAGGAUGUGAUGCGGCACACACAAAGAAAGGCAAAACUUUUAAGAAAAGGGAAGGAGAAGCCCAAGCCAUUACUUUAGGACAACACCAAGGAGGAAUAUACAACCCUUACCAGCCAUACCCACCAUACCCCUAUUACCCAACUGUGAACAACACUUCACAAAGCCCAUACCUAUACCUACCCAUGCCAAAUGCCUUUCUUAACCUGUACCCAUAUACUCCCAUCCAAUGAACACUUUACCCUAUAAAUAUUCACCCACUUACUUCCACACCUGUUACAGCUUCAACCACACAACAAACAACACCUUCAAAUAACCAUAAUACCGGUGAAUCAAGAGGAUGGUGAAACAAGCAAGAGAAAGUGCAGUUUGACCCAACCCCAAUCCCAUAUGCUAAACUCUUCACUUAGUUAGUAGCAAAUCAUCUGGUGGCACCUUUAUACAUAGAGCCAUUAAAACCUCCAUUCUUGAGAUGGUAUGACACUUUUGCCCACUGUGAUUAUCAUUAUGGAAUCGAAGGUCACUCAAUCGAGAAUUGCACAGCAUUCAAGCAUAAAGUGCAAGGGUUGAUCAAGGCAGGAAUCCUGAACUUUGAAAAAAAACUGAAACAAAAUAUUAACAACAACCCACUGCCAAACCAUGCUGGGGCAGGGGUAAAUGCAAUCGAAAGGGAGGUGUAUGCUAAAAAGAACAUUCGGAAAGUGGAAACCCCCAUGGAGAAAGUAUUUGAAGCCUUGGUAAAGGCCAAUAUGCUCGAGGUCUAACCGAAAUGUUCUGAUGUGAAUGACUCAGGAGAUAUCCAAAGACCAUAUUGCUUGAAUCACAAAGGAUGUGUGGGGCAUUUAAUCCAGGAUUGUAGUUCUUUCUGGAAGAAAGUGCAAAGAAUGAUGGAAGAAUCAAGGAUUGAGUUUUAUGUGGAAGCUUCAAAGCCAGCAGUAAACAUGAUAUCCAAGGAGUCCACUCACCCAAGGAAGAUAAAACCUUUAACCAUUUUCUAUGAACCAAUAGGAGAGUCUGUGAAAGACGAAACCCAUGCCAAAAUGACCAUCGAAGUCCCUAAACCUUUCCCCUAUAAAGAUGAUAAAGCUGUCCCAUGGAACUACAAUUGCAAUGUACAAAUUUCAAAAGCGAGAAAAUGGAUAGCUGAAUCUCAAGAUGAUGCUGUAAAUAUAACUGGUGUUGAAGGGAUUACCUGUAGCGGACGUUGCUAUUCACCGAAAGCAUUGGAGAAUCUCAAGAAGGAGAAGGGAAAGGAAAAAGAGUAAAGUCCGAGAGAAAAAAAUGUGCAACCUCAAGAAUCGACAGAUGGCUUAAAAGGACCCAUAACGAAAAAAGAAGUUGUCGAGUUUCUCAAGUUCAUUAAACAUAGUGAGUACAAUGUGGUCGAGCAAUUGAACAGGCUGCUUGCUCGUAUUUCACUAUUAUCUUUGCUCCUCAGCUCGGAACCACAUAGGAACUCUUUGAUGAGGAUUUUGAGCCAAGCAUAUGUGGAUCAUGACAUUUUAGUUGAAAAUUUAGACUACAUCAUUGGGAAUAUUUCAGUGGGUAACAUAAUAUCCUUUAGCGACGAAGAAAUCCCUUCUGGAGGUAGGGGAAACUACAAAGCCUUGCAUAUCACUACCAAGUGUAAAGGCUGUACCAUCGCAAAAGUGCUGCUUGAUAACGGAUCGUCUUUAAAUGUGAUGCCCAUGAGGACCUUGGCCUUUUUACCCAUCAACAUGUCCUACAUGCGAAAGGGUCAGAUGAUCGUGAGAGCCUUCGACGAAACAAGGAGAAAAGUAGUAGGGGACAUUGAGAUACCGACGGAAAUUGGCCCGUGUAUCUUUACCAUCAAAUUCCAGGUUAUGGAUAUCACUCCUUCAUACAAUUAUUUGUUGGGAAGACCUUGGAUCCAUAUGGCUGGGUCCAUACCUACAUCCAUUCAUCAGAAGGUCAAGUUCAUCGUGGACGGAAAGAUUAUCUGUGUUAACGGGGAAGAGGACUUACUCAUAAGCAAGCUAGUGGAUACUCCUUACGUGGAAGAGGACUUACUCAUAAGCAAGCCAGUGGAUACUCCUUACGUGGAAGAGGCGGAAGAAGUGCUUGAAUGUUCCUUCCGAUCCUUCGAGUUUGUUAACACCAUAUAUGUUGGAGAAAGAACCACACCGCCUAUUCGAGGCUUUCUAAAUCCACCAAGAUGACUGUUAGUCAGAUAGUAGGGAAAGGAUACCGACCGGGAGUAGGACUGGGAAGAGCACUAUAAGGCAUUAGAAGGCCCAUACGUGCUACCAAAAAUGAAGAAAGGUUUGGCUUGGGGUAUAAGCCAACUAAAAAGGAAAGAGAAAAAAUGAUAGCCGAAAGAAGAAAAGAAAGGUUGGCUCGCUUUAAGGGGCAUGAGUUGGAAAUCCAUGGAAUGACAUAUCCUCAUCUCUACGAGAUAUUUCGAUACGGCUGCAUCUUUCUUGAAUCACUCACCGUUGGGAGCCGAGAAUCAGUGUCAGCUUUAGGGGAAACCUUUUCUGAUUUAUCAAUAUGUGCAACGGAGGAAGGUGAAGAGCAGCCAAGAAAUGCAGAUGGGAUUCCUACUACAUACCUCGGACCACCAAAUUUGAAGUUGAGCAACUGAACCACCAUGAGUUUACCAGUCACUUGUGAUUCAAUUUCAAAGUAAUGCAAACUAAACAUCCGUGCUUAUGCCCAAAAGCAUUAGAAAUUUUAUGUAUUGAGCUUUUCUUUAUCAUUUAUCAUUCUAAUAAAUUGACAUGUGUAGUGCAUUUCUCAUAUCUCUUCUCAUGAUUCACCAUUUCCAUUUGUGUCAUUUCAUCCCUUUAUUUCAACUGUUUAUCUAUACAAUAGCUCUACAUUUUUCAAUUCCCUUUACCUUGCAGGAUUCCAAAUAAUGAAUGCAAAGAUGAUAAUGACAGUGGUUUUGAAGUUAAUUUUGAAAAAGGUACAAGUGUCAGUGAACUUGACGAUACAGAAAACAUGGAGGAUUAUGAUUUGACUCCGGACUUGUUAAGACUAGUAGAACAGGAUGGGAAACAAAUUGUCCCACAUCAAGAGACACUUGAAACGAUUAAUUUGGAAAAUGAAGAAAAUAAGAAAAAAGUUAGAAUCGGUACGACGUUGGUGCCAAUUGAGAAAGAAAAACUAAUAAGGCUACUCCAUGAAUAUGUAGAUGUGUUUGCAUGGUCCUAUCAAGAUAUGCCAGGACUCAAUACAGACAUUAUAGCCCAUAAACUGCCUUUGAAACCCGAAUGCAAACCAAUUAAGCAAAAGUUGAGAAGAAUGAAACCUGAAAUGCUAUUGAAAAUUAAAUAAGAGGUGAAAAAGUAGUUCGACGCGGGAUUCUUGGAAGUAGCUAAGUACCUUGAAUGGGUUGCAAAUAUUGUCCUAGUACCUAAGAAAGAUGAGAAAGUGAGAAUGUGUGUGGAUUAUAGAGACUUGAAUAGAGCUAGCCCAAAAGAUAAUUUUCCUCUUCCCCACAUUGACACCCUUGUUGACAAUAUUGCAGCCAUUCCAUGUUUUCCUUUAUGGAUGACUUUUCAAGGUAUAACCAAAUUAAGAUGGCACUAGAGGAUAGAGAGAAAACUACCUUCAUAACUAUGUAGGGGACCUUUUGUUAUAAGGUAAUGCCAUUUGGUUUGAAGAAUGCAGAGGUAACUUAUCAGUAGGCUAUGGUGACUCUCUUCCAUGAUAUGAUCCAAGGAAAGGUUGAGGUGUAUGUGGAUGAUAUGAUUGUAAAAGCUCACAAAACAAAGGACCAUGCGACCAAUCUUGAAAGAUUAUUUAAGAGGUUACGAAAAUUUCAGCUCAGAUUAAAUCCAACAAAGUGCACUUUUGGAGUCACUUCAGGAAAGCUACUAAGUUUCGUCGUCAGUGAAAGAGGAAUAGAAGUUGACCCAGAUAAGGUUCAAGCAAUCCAUGAUUUACCUCCUCCCAAAAUGCAAAAAGAAGUUAGAGGAUUUUUGGGAAGAUUAAAUUAUAUAGCCCGGUUCAUAUCACAACUCACACUCAAAUGUGACCCGAUCUUCAAGCUCCUUUGCAAACACAAUCCUGGGGCAUGGAACGAGGAGUGCCAAGUUGUUUUUGACAAGGUUAAAGAAUAUCUGCUGAGUCUGCCAAUAUUGGUACCACCUGUGGCCGGGAGACCCCUCCUCUUGUACCUGACGGUGAAUGAAGGAUCCAUGGGAUGUGUGUUAGGACAGCAUGAUGAAACUGGUAAGAAAGAAAUGGCAGUUUACUACUUGAGUAAAAAGUUCACUGAGUACGAGUCCAAGUAUUCCUCGUUGGAAAAGAUGUGUUGUGGUUUAGCAUGGAUAGCGCAUCGACUCAGGCAGUACAUGUUAUAUCAUACCACUUAGCUCAUUGCGAAGUUGGAUCCUAUUAAAUACAUCUUCGAGAAACCGUCCUUAUCAGGUAGAGUGGCAAGAUGGCAAAUGUUAUUGUCUUAAUAUGAUAUUGUAUAUGUGUCCCAUAAAGUUAUCAAAGGAAGUGCAAUCGUAGAUUUUCUAGCGAAAAGGGUGGAAAAGAAGUAUAAACCAAUGGAGUUUGAGUUUCUGGAUGAGGACUUGAUGUCAAUAUGCCAAACAAAUGAGGAGGAAUCAGAAGAGGAAGAGAAUUGGAAGAUGUUUUUUGACGGAGCUUCGAAUGCCUUGGGGCAUGGCAUAGGGGUCGUGUUAGUGUCACCAGAAGGAGAUCAUUAUCCCGUCAUAGCUAAACUCAACUUCUAUUGCACUAAUAAUGUGGCUGAAUAUGAAGCUUGUGUCAUGGGUCUUCAGGCAGCAAUCGAGAGGAAAAUUCACGUUUUGGAAGUGUAUGGGGACUUUGCUUUGGUUAUUUAUCAAUUGCGAGGAGAAUGGGAGACACGUGACUCGAAGUUAGUCCGGUAUCACAAGUAUGUUUCAAAGCUGAUUGAAAAUUUUGAUAAGAUUCGCUUCACCCAUUUACCUCGAGAGGAGAACCAAAUGGCUGAUGCAUUAGCUACGCUAGCAGCAAUGUUCAAAGUUGGUACCGAUGUCAAGAUUUAACCCAUCAUGAUUAAUCUUCGAGAGUGCCCUGCACACUGCUCCAGUGUAGAGGAAGAAGUAGACGAGAAACCGUGAUACCAUGAUAUUGUGCAUUAUCUCAAGUUUCAGCAGUAUCCGGAACAAAGCUCAAAAAAUGAUAAGAAAACCAUUAGAAGGUUGGCAAUGAAUUUUUUCUUGGAUGGGGACACCUUAUACAAGAGAAGUAGGGUUCAAGUGCUUUUGAGAUGUGUGGAUUCAGUCGAAGCUCAAAAAAUAGUUAAGGAAGUCCACGAAGGAAUUUGUGGGGCACACGCAAGUGGGCAUAUGUUGGCAAGACAAGUCAUGAGAACAAGGUAUUACUAGCUCAUGUUGAGAACGGAUUGUAUAGAUUUUGCUCGAAAGUGUCACAAGUGUCAAAUAUACGCAGACAGAAUCCACACUCCUGCAAAUUCACUAAAUGUACUGACAUCACCAUGGCCAUUCUCAAUGUGGGGCAUGGAUGUGAUUGGGUUAAUAACCCCGAAGGCAUCAAAUGGGUAUCGGUUUAUUCUGGUGGCAAUUGACUACUUCACAAAGUGGGUAGAAGUAGCAUCUUAUGCCAAUGUGACCUAGAAAGUGGUAUGUAAGUUCAUCCAAAAAGAAACAAUAUGCCGCUAUGGUCUCUCGGAAAGGAUCAUCACAGAUAACGCUAGUAACCUCAAUGGUUCAAAGAUGAAAGAGGUUUGUGCCAAGUUCAAGAUCAAGCAUCACAAUUCAACGCCUUAUCACCCAAAGAUGAAUGGAACGGUGGAAGCAGCCAACAAGAACAUCAAAAGGAUAAUUGAAAAGAUGACAGAUGUAUACAAAGAUUUGCAUGAGAAGCUACCAUUUGCUUUGCAUGCUUAUCGCACAACAGUCUGAACUUCCACGAGAGCUACACCGUUCUCUUUGGUGUAUGGGAUGGAAGCAGUUUUGCUAAUUGAAGUAGAAAUUCUUUCCCUUCGAGUUCUUAAAGAAGUACAGUUGGAAAAAGCCGAAUGGGUUAACGCUCGUUAUGAGCAAUUGAAUCUCAUAGAAGAAAAAAGGUUGACGGCACUUUACCAUGGGCAGUUAUAUCAUAAGAGAAUGAUGAGGGCAUAUGGCAAGAAGGCACAUCCUCGACAGUUCUGAGAAAGAGAGUUAGUAUUGAAAAGAAUUCUCCCGAACCAGUAGGAUCCCUGCGGGAAAUGGACACCGAAUUGGGAAGGACCAUUUGUGGUGAAGAAAGCUUUUUCAAUAGGAGCAUUAAUUUUAGUGGAGAUGGACGGAAGGGAGUUUUCCAACCCAGUGAAUGCCGAUGCUGUCAAGAAAUAUUUUGCAGUAAAAAAAAAGAGAGAAAAAAGAAAAAAAAAUUUCAAGUUGAAAACCUAAAAAGGCGGCUUGAAUCUGGGAGAUGUGUUUAGGGCGAAAACUCGAAAGGGCGGUCUAGACACGAAGGAGGUCCAAGUACUAUAAAAGCUUAACACAGAAAGGGUAAAGAUCAUGAUCCGAGAUGUUCAUACAAAAGACAAGGGAGUUGACAAAUGUGCCUGUUUCAGGAUAAAAUUUCAAGACUACUGUUAAUAUCUAUCGAAACAGUCAUUAAGAAAGAACUGUAUCCCUUUUGUAUUAAUCAAUUUUCCCCUGUUCCUUAUCAUUAUACUUGAUUGUAGAAACUUCCCUUUUUUAUAAUGAAAAGUGGCCUUUCUGCUCCCAACAAUGCCAUCAUUUCCAUUAUGCCAAGAGAGGAGAUAUGAGUACAUUGCAUUGCAUUUGUCAUAAAAUUGGAAUGAUACUUAAUAAAGAGCAUGAUAAAGUAAGAAAUGUUUGCAAUAUUUUGAAAAAGGAUCGUAAUUGACGGGGAAUGAAAUGGAGUCUGGUAAUGUGAAAAAAGAAAAGAGCAAAGACUAAGAAAAGAAAGAAAGAAAUGGAAAUAGCAAUAGAAUGGAGCACAGUAAAAAUGUGAAGAAUGAUUGGACCAUGCAUUUGAUAGAGGAAGAAAACAGUUAUGAGCAAUGAAUUGGGGAAGACGAGAGAUCGGAAGCGUGAUCGAUUCAUCCCCCAUUGAUCAAAGAGAAGGCUCUAAAACACCCAAAAAAAGGAAACUGAUGAAGAUGAAUUGCCAUGUUCAAAAUUUUAAAACAAUUGAAAAAGAGGGAAAUUCAUCUUUAAAAUCUUAGAACCUCAGAUGAGGAGUUGAUUAUUUUUCACCAUUCCAAAAAAGGAAAAAAGGUUUCGUUACCUCAGUUUUCAGGAAUUCAUUUUUAAAGAUACGUUGCCUCAAUUUUGAGGAGUCCAUUUUUAAAAGCUUUGGUUACCUCAGUUUUGAGGAGUUCAUUUUCAAAGUCUCGUUGCCUCAGUUUUGAGGAGUUCAUUUUUAAAGUCUCAUUUUUAAAGUCUCGCUGCCUCAAUUUUGAGGAGUUCAUUUUUAAAGUCUCGUUGCCUCAGCUUUGAGGAGUUUAUUUUUAAAAGUCACAAUGCCUCAAUUUUAAGGAAUUCAUUUUUAAAAGUUUCGUUGCCUCAGCUUUGAGGAAUCUCAUUAAAAAAAAAACUUGGUAGGAGAAUUAAAGAAUUUAGUCAAAUACGGUGUCUAUGUCUUUGCACUAUUUCGAAUUUCUGAAAUGCGCAAAGAAGGGCAGUUGUAGACACUAAAAUUGUAACAAAAUGAGAAACAAAAAACGAAUAAAAAUAAUUAAUUAAAAAAAUGAAUGAUGAAAAAAGAAAAGGGGAGAGGGUACAACUGGCAGGGUGCAGACGCACCCUGCCAAGCACCUCCCUCACCUUGCCAGACGCGAAAAAUUCGUGUCUGGCAGGGUAGUGGAGCGUGCCCCCUCUAGAGCCCAGGAACCGGGUAUAAAAUGGGAGGGGGCACUAUAGCAAUUAGGGGAGGAUAACUUGUAAAAAAACGAAAAAAAAAACCUAGCUUUCUAAGCAACUGAGAGCAACCACAAAUUGCCAGAAAAUGAAAAAAAAUCAAUCAAAUAAAAAAAAAACCUUAAGUUUUUCUAGCAGCCAGAAUCAACACAGUAAAAAAUACCACACAAUAGGUAAAAAAAAAUCAUUAAAUAUAUGCAUAAAAAAGUAUAGGAAGCCUUGGGUUUUGGGCUCACCGCCGAUGAAAUGAAAAAGCAGAGAGAGGAGAGAGUUUGGUUCGAGCGGCACCGGCAAGGGGAGCAAAGCCAAAUCUGGGUGACGAAAGUAAAAAAGGCUUCGAUGGCCGACGGGAAAAGAGAGAGAGGGUGAGAGGCCGUAGCCAAAAAGAGGAAAGAGAGGGAGAUCCGGUUUAGUGGGAGCUGAGGCCUUUGGGUUUUACCAACCACUGGUGAAAGGAGAGUGAGAGAGAUCUUGACGAGAGAUUUUGACCACCGGUGAAAGGACAUCUGGAGAUCGGAUCGAGCGGUGUUAAGGGGGUCAUAUCUGGUGGCAUGGUUGGCAUCGGCAGAGAAGAAGAGUUUUCGAGUGGUUGGUGAAACGAAUGAGAGUGAGAGGAGAAAGGUUCGAGCUAUCCCAAGAAAGAGACAGCUGACGGGGCAGGAAAGACGUUGCCGAUUUGGGAGAAAGCUGACCGUUGGGUUGGCCAGCAGUUUGUAGAGAGAAGGGAGAGAGUAGGGUCUUUAGAGAGAGAAACUGAAAGAAAAAAAAUGAAGAGAUGAGGGGAAAAAGGAGCUUAUAUAGUAAGGGCGUAGAGGUCCUUAAACGACGCCGUUCCUAGCUUGUGGAGGAGCCUCUCCUUAUCACACCGAACAACAUCGUUUUGAUAGUUGGGGAGUCACCUUGCGGGAUACCAGGUGGAUCGAAGCUUGGAGAAGACCAGCUAUCUUGGGGCCGCUCUUAGCCCACGACAGGUAAAUUCCUUUUUUCUUUUGAUUUGUUUUUGUGGUGUGCUUGGCCCAUUGUUUAGAUAGAAAGGUAAUUAGUUUUUUUAAAAUUAGAAUAAAAGAUAAUAUAUAUAUAUAAUAAAAUAAAAAUUUAAAAUUAUCAGAUGACAAGAAAAAACAUAUAAAGUGAAUAAAAAUAUAUAUGAAAAUAGAUAAGGAUGAAAAUAAAAUUUUUUAAAUAUAUAUAUGCAAAAAAAAUGGAGAAAGUAAAAUAAAUAUAUAUUUAUGUAAUAAAUAAUAGCAAAAUUAGGUAGAAAAGUCAUUUAGUUAUAAGAAUAGGUCCAACAAUAAAAAUACAUAUGGGGAAAUAAAUGAACAUUUAAUAAAAAAAAUAAUAAAUAGUAAAUAGUAAUAAUAUAGCUUUGUAUAAAAUAGAGAUAGAGGAGUACAAAUGAGGAGAGAACUAAAAUAGCAUAAUUGUUUAAUUUAACACCGAUGAUGGGAUGAUCGAUUGGGAUGUGAGAAGUCGCAAUCCCGAGCUAAUUUUUCCUAGGUUUGGAAUCCGAAUUAAGGCUCUACCAAUACGAUGGGAGGGCCUUGAUUUCGAGAUCCCGAAAUUUUUUAUAAAAAUAAAAAUUUAACAACACAAAAUCAUCAAAAAAAGUAAAUAAACAAAUAAUAGAUAAAAAGGAAAAAAUAAAAAAAUAAAAAAAUAAAAAAUGAAAACAAUAAUAAUAAUAAUUCGAAUAUAUAGUAAGUAAUCAAUUUGUGAAAAUGCAAUAUACAUGACAUUAAACAAAUAAAAAAUCUAAAACAACAACUAAUUUAAAAUUAAGCAUUAAAUAUCAAGUGACACAAAUUACAAAUUAAUAUAUAUUAUAAAAAAUGUGAAGAUAAAGAUAAGAAAGUAAAAAAAAAUUAAAUAUAGUUAUAUAAAAUAAGAUCUUAGGCAUUAGGUUUGAAUAAAAGAUUGCUUACGAAAAAAUAUAAUAAUAAUAAAAAUAUAAAAAAUAAAAAUAGUAUAAUAAAAAAUAAUAAAUAAAUUUUUGUUCACUAAAAUAACAUGGAAUCAUAAAAGGAAAAUAUAAAAGCUUAGAAUAAAAAAUGUAAAGUAUAAAAAAUAAUAAUUAGANAGAGGUAGGCAGGAAACUCGUCAAUUAAUAAUUUUAAAAAGAAAGAGAGGAAAAUAAUAUAUAUAUAUAUGGAUGAUGAUCUUGGCAUAUUGCUCAUACUUAGGGUUCCUUUAUUUUGAUGUACAAUAUUUUUUAAAAAAUGUUUUCAGGAUUUAUAUUUGUUUAGUAGACAGAAAAUUUAUUCCAACUGUAAAAUAUUUUAUCAGUUAAUAGAAAAAAUACCUAUUGACCACAUAAAAUGUCUUACGUCUUUAAGAGACGUAAGACAUUUUCCGGAGAACUGAAAAACACUCUUAUACUAAAACUAAUAGUAUAGGUAUGAUGAAUAUUAAUAUUUAACUUUAAAUAUUAAUAUUUAAAUUAUUCAAUACUAUUAAAAUAUUUUAAAAAUAUUUUUUAAUGAAAUCAUUCAAUGCAAUUAAAAUUUUAUUUAUAAAAUGAAUAAAUCUUACUAAUAAUUAUAAUAAAAAAUAUUUCAAUGCUUGUCACUUAAUGGAUACAUAUUUAUAAAUAUAAAUUUUGGAUGUUUUACAUAAUUGAUGAAUAUUUAUUUUUUUAUAGUUAUGAUAAAAAAAAUGAUCAGUUGAAAUUUUUUUUGAAAAUUAGAGUUUAUUUUCAUGACAGAUUUAUAGUUAAAUACUUUGAGAAAUAUCAUUAUUAAUUUUUUUUAUUUUCAUUUCCAUUCUUAAUUUUGAUCUCCAAUUAAUGACAAUCAAAUAUCAAUAUUAUUUGGUACUCAACUUCUAUUUAUUAUUUUAACACAUAAAUAACUUCACCAUGAUGGAAAAUAUUUUUCAUAAAAUGAUCCAAAUAAUAGAAAAUAUUUUUGACAAUUUAUCCAAACAACAGAAAAAUAUUAAAUUUUUUUUGUAAAAUAUUUUACACAAGAAAAUUUUUCCUCCAGCAAGUCAUUUUCCAAUUAUUAAACAGACCCUAAGUAUAUGUCUAUCUUAUGCAAACAAUCGGAUUCAAAUUUUUAUUUUCACAAAAUCAAAUAUAUAUAUUUUUAUUUGAAAAAGAUUAUAGUCAAUUAGUACACAGUGCUCCUUGCAAUUUAUUCGUGCCACGUGGAUAUAAUGUUUAAUUCAUCAUUUUUUUUCAAAUCUUUCAAUAAUCGAAGUAGCAUUGAUGGGAACAAUGGAGCUACAUAUAUGAUCACCCUAUUUUUUGUUUUUCUGAAGAGCAAUGUUAUCACUAACUAGGAUUAAAAAUCUAUUAUUUGCGUGCGAAGGAAAAUAUUAGUUAGGUUUCGUUUGGAUUGUGCUUUUACUUUUUUUUUUGUAAUUUGUCUUAUUUUCUAUCAAUUUUUUAUUUAUUAAUUUUUCACAAAAAAUAAAAUAUAAAUAGCAACAGUAUCAAUAAAAUUAUCGUUAUUUGUUUUAAUGAAACAUUUUGACAGUAAAAAUUGAUCUAAUGUUUUCAGUUUAAUAACUUUUUCAAAUUUAAAACUCAAAAAGAAAGAAUAAAAUUUUUAUGCCAUAUAACAAAACACUACCAGUUUAUUGUUUCACUUAAAACCUAAUGACCCUCUUUGUGUUUAUUAAGAAACCAUUAAUCACUUAAUGUUGCUGCAUGACACAAUAACAAUUAUCUUUUUUUCUCUCUUUUUUUUUUGGCUGAGCAAAGAAAAUAAAACAAUUAUCUUUUUUAAGUAAAAAAGUGCACAUUGAUCAAGAUAAAAGAAAAUAACACUUUCAACGAAUUAAUCAAAAUAACAUCAAACAUAAUUGUAAAAUUUCACUUUUUUUUUAUAAGUAUUAACAAUUUGUUAUAACAUUAACAAAUCAAUAAUUAAAAAAAAGUCGAACAACAUCCAAACAACAUCCAAGCGCUUUCUAUGGCCUCCCUUCACCUCUUUUUCCUUUUGAAUUGAACAAAAAGCUCUAAAGAAGCUCUAAAAGAUACCGGAACUCGAAGCCAACAACGCCCAACAAAAAAUUGAAGCCGAGUCUCCUCAACUGUGAACCCUCCAAACUCUGGGUUGAAACCUCUUUCCUUUUGUUUUUGUAUGUUUCUUUUGCUUCAAUUUUUUCUUUUUGUGUUUGGCUGACUGUGGUUUGGAUUGCAUAGUUUUCUAGGGAUUUGAUCUUAUGUAUUCCUUUUUCUUUUCAUAGGGGUUUCUCUCACUUCGAUUUGGAAGGCAGUUGUGUAAGAGAGAAAUGAUUCAUACAUAAAUCUCCGUGAGUUUCUGUUUCAUUUUUCUUUUUGUUUUUUAUUUUUUUUUUCAGUUUUAAUUUUUGUUUGGUAUAUUAUCUUAUUUAUAAAAACAAUUGCAGAAAUAGAGUUAGGGUUUAGUAUGUCAUCUUAAUAUCAUUUUUUUAUAUUAAAAAUUAAAGGGUGAAAGUGUGAGGGCAAAUGAAUGGUGCUGUUGAGUAAUGGGAUGGCUUAUUUUUAACGCGAGGAGUAGCUAAUAGGGAACGUCUUUUGCAUGCCUUUAACCAUUGAAAUAGGGUAAUUUUAUGAGCGUGUUGAAUAUGAUUAAUUAAUUGAAAAUAGGUAAGCAACCAAAGAGAAAGUGAAAAGAAUAAAGGCUUUCAACCAUUGUAGUUUGAUAAUAGCAUAACAACUACCCUUUUAAUAUUUCAGCUCAAUGGGUUAGUCACUAGUAGCUUUUAAUUGUAGUUUUAGUUCAUAGCAUGAAAACGACCUAACCCAAAUUCAAUUUUGCCUAUUUAUGUUCUUUAGAUUUUCUUCCUGAAGAAGGUUUGGUAGUUGGGUUGGGAAGGAAAUAGAAUUAAAAGAAGGUGGAUGUAUGAUUUUGAGUUAUAAAAUAAAAAAAAUAAUUGAUUAUUUCGAGAUAUAAGAAAAAAAGAAAUUGAUGAAUAUAAAUGAUUGUGAUGGUUUUUUGAAGGAAAAUUUGUAAUUUAGCCACAUGAGGGUGAGAAGAAAGCAAUCUGAAUAAGAUUGUCAUUGAUUUCAAUUUGGAAAACAAAGCUUUUAGCUAUGAAUUUUCAUGAUAUGAUGACCCAAUUCUAAAAACAUUACUCUAAUAUUUGUUUAAUCACUAGAUGUUAAAAGUUACUUAAUGGAUUUGAUUAAUUAGAUUGUUUUUUUUUUUCUUUUUCUUAAGCAAUGCUAAUGCAUCAAUGAAGAAUGAUGAAAAGGGAAAGGGUUUUUUGGGCUCUUCUUGGUCUAUUUUUGUACUAAUUUCUUUUCUAUUUUCAAUAUCAUUGAUGUAAAAUGAGAAUGACAUAAAUGGAACUUACUUGAAAAGGUUGUUAUCUUCUGAUGAUUUUAAUUUCAUUGAUAAGCUUGUUGUUAUUGCACUUUUAUUCUUUUCACCUUUAGGCUUCAAGUCUAGAGAGAGUUAAACUAGGAAUUAGGAAAAGGUAGAAGAAAAGUGUUUUUUCUGGUUAAAAGAGGAUUUGGUUCAAUAGGUAUUUGCCAUGUUAGGCUUUGGUCACCAAUCCUCCACGCAUCUGUCCUUAUUGUAUUCUAGAAGCUUGUUACAUUGAACAAAGUUAAUGGGAAUUCUUUAUUUUUAUUUUUUUCUCUGUGACCUUUUUGGUUGUAUAGCUUAGAUAUCUAGCACAUUAUUUUACUCUUUCUUGGUAGGUUCAAGAAUAGGAAGUUGGUUUAAAUGGUUCAAACUUUUAGACCAUAUAAUAACAUCAACAAGAAUCUAUGUGGGAAUUGGUGGGACAUCAAUGGUAAGAAAGAAUAUAAGAUAGAACUUUGAAGAUUAUUAGAUCAAAAUUUCAAAGUGAGCUAAAUUACAAAGCCAAAGGAGAAAGGAGAAUAUCCUGAUUUGAACUAAUUCCAGUUGAACUAAAAGCGAUUGCUGCCACUGUUUUGAAUAAAGAAAUAUGAUUAAUAACUCACUCAUCAUCAUUAAGACUCUCUUAAUGAUUUUCUUUCCCUUGAAGUUGAACUGCAUAACAUCUGUAUUUGAUGAAAGUACCGUGAAACUUUAUUACCUAUUUUAAAUUGUAAACCAUAGCCAGCCAAGGCUUCCAGCCGAAAAAGAACAAUAGGCUUAGGCUUGCAUUUGUGAAGUCCAAGCUUAAACUUAGAUAAAAAGCCUGUAUGAGGGAGAAUGGGGAAUGAUUUAUAGUCCAAACUCUCUAUUUGGAUUGGAAUAUGGACUAGAAAUGUUCAUAUUAAAGGGAUGUUAUCAUAUGAAACAGAAGUUUGGGGAGAGGGGGGUUGGAUUGAUGAUUGUGGUCAGGCAUUUUCUAAUUGCUUGAUGAUCAUGUAAUUCUUUGAGAAAAUGUUAGGCCACCAUAGAAACAAAAAAUCACCGACAGAGGCCCAUGUGUCUCGAAAAUCGAGGGCAGGAUGAUCUUCUUCACCACUUGAAAGCUUUUUUUUUUUUACUGUUGUUUCUAGGAGGAGAAACAGUGUGGAAAAGACAAGGAUCGUUGCCUUUGUACGGCNNNNNNNNNNNNNNNNNNNNNNNNNNNNNNNNNNNNNNNNNNNNNNNNNNNNNNNNNNNNNNNNNNNNNNNNNNNNNNNNNNNNNNNNNNNNNNNNNNNNNNNNNNNNNNNNNNNNNNNNNNNNNNNNNNNNNNNNNNNNNNNNNNNNNNNNNNNNNNNNNNNNNNNNNNNNNNNNNNNNNNNNNNNNNNNNNNNNNNNNNNNNNNNNNNNNNNNNNNNNNNNNNNNNNNNNNNNNNNNNNNNNNNNNNNNNNNNNNNNNNNNNNNNNNNNNNNNNNNNNNNNNNNNNNNNNNNNNNNNNNNNNNNNNNNNNNNNNNNNNNNNNNNNNNNNNNNNNNNNNNNNNNNNNNNNNNNNNNNNNNNNNNNNNNNNNNNNNNNNNNNNNNNNNNNNNNNNNNNNNNNNNNNNNNNNNNNNNNNNNNNNNNNNNNNNNNNNNNNNNNNNNNNNNNNNNNNNNNNNNNNNNNNNNNNNNNNNNNNNNNNNNNNNNNNNNNNNNNNNNNNNNNNNNNNNNNNNNNNNNNNNNNNNNNNNNNNNNNNNNNNNNAAAUUUUAACAGCCUUGGCGGACUCGGUUGGAUGCCCUGCGCAAGGUAUCACUGAGUAUGAGUUUUGGCACGAGCCAAAGUUUUAAGAAAUUCAUAAGCCAAGUUGAUUACUCGAUUUAUAUGGAUUGAUUUUAUUUGGUUGAAAUGAACUGAAAGGUAAUGAAAUUACAGUAUGAUGACUUAUUUUAAUUGUCUCCAUUUACUCGGCUUUAGAUACUUUAGAUGGUAUCUGUUUACUCACUGGGAUUAUAAAAUCUCACCCCUUCUUCCUAUACAUUUUUCAAGCUCAGGACAGUUUGUAGAUAAUCGAGUAGGACGAUAACUAAGCUCGGAACUGCAUUAUAGAAAGUAAGAGUUCACAAUCUUACAUCCUCUUGGUCAAUUGGGGCCCACGUGUCAUUGCAGAUCAAAACUUAUAUUUUGGUUAUCUGUAUUUCUAUUCAUACAAUUUUUACUUUUCGUUCAUGUGCGGAAAAAAUUAUUUACGAAUAUUUCUAUAAAAAUUUAUUUUAUGACAAAAUAGAAUAUUUCAUUUAUUAUUUUUGAAUACUACUAGUUGUCAAUAAUUUGAUUUCAAACGAACGUUUUAGAUAUUUAAUUUGUUUUUAAAUGAUUAAAUAUAUAUUUUCUGCUCACCUACUACAUUUUUAGCAAGUUUUGAGAUUUUUGACGAAAAAUUACGAAAAUGCCCCUGUGAGCCAGAAAAUAAUAUUUUAUUGUCCUUAUUUGAAAAUGACUUAUGAUUUUUUUUGAAAUGCGAGAUUUAAUAACUAUUGCUCACCGGGAAGUGUGAAAGCUGAUACGAGAGCCUUGCGAGAUUUCGAUCAGCAUUCGGGGUGAAAAUAUCUGUCGAGGCCUCGCGACAGUUGUCACGGGCCCGAUGGGGAGUUUUGGGUCGUGACAAAUAAAUUGUGCCAAUUUAUCAUAAACUAUUUCAGGCUCUCUAAAUCUAAAUGAAUGCAUGCGAUGGGAUGCAAAAUGUCCGAUUAAUCACUUAAAUGUGAUAUUCGACCUAAGUCAUACUAUACUCGGUCUAAUUGGCUAAAAUCUCCAAUUUAACUCCAAAUCAAUUCUUCUCACUUUCUACACUCCAAUUAUACCUAAAUUACCUCAGUGACUGUGAAUGAGAUUCAAUUUAUCAGUUCCGGGUCAAUAAUCACACAUGUCUAUAUGUUAAGCAAAAAUUCAGAUUUUCACACCAAAAUUUUUCAUUUAAUUUCUAGCCUCACCAAACAUCAAAUAUCACCAAAACAUCAUGAAAUACCAUCAAUUUCAACCACAAUAUCCUCCUUAGAAAAUUCGGCCAAUGAUGGGUAAUGAGAGAAAAUGAAAUUUUCUUGUUGGUUUGUUUCUAGACAUGAUAAACUAACUAAAAACACUAACAUAACUUAGAAUCAAAUCAUCCAACUUCAUUCUCUCUCCAUACCCAUUCCAGCCAACCAAGAAUUCACCAUGAAAACAUGAAAUCUAACCAUGGAAAAUGAAAAAAAAAGCAUGGGUAGUGUAAAUCACAAGUCAAAAUCAAGAAAUUUUACCUUUAUUAGCUUAAUCCCUUGAAAUCCCACACUUUUUCUUCAAUUUUCCCACCUAGGGUUCUUGUUUUUUUUCCUUUCGUCCUUUGUUCUUCUUCAGCCGGCCACAUGAAUGAGAAAUGGGCUGAUUUUGUGUUAAUUUUAAAGCUAAAUAUUUAAUGGUUAUAAAUAUGCCAUGUGUCACCAUUUCAGUGGUCCAUUUUUAUUUCUUAACUAUUAAGAUUUCUCUCUCCACCAUAUAAAUUCCUUCAACUAUCCAUGAUAAAAUUGGAUAAAAUCCAUGUGCUGGACAAGUGUUUUGGUGGUGGAAAAUUACAAUUUUGCCCCUAAGGUGGCAAAAUUCCCAUUUUACCCUAUACUCCAAAUUAUACGAAAUUAAAAUUUUUCACUUCUAAACCUAAAAUCAUACUCCAAUAAGUCAAAUUAUACUCCAAUAAGUCAAAUGGGGUCAAAACAAAUCUUUUCUAAAAUUUUCAUUUUAUCCCCAAGUGGCAAUGACCAUUUUGCCCCUAGUUAGUGAAAUUUCGAUUUGACUCCAAAUUGAUCCUCAAACUCCAAAUUAACAUUUUAAGUCAACCAUGAACUGUGAAACUCUUAAUUCACCUUAAAAUUCCUAUUUGAUCUAGUUCGAGGAUUAAAUUAACUUUGUUGUACCUCUAGGUACAAUACAGACUUUUGUAAAUUUUUCGAGACUCUCCUAGCAUGCAAUCAUGCUAUCAUCACAUGUAAGUUAUGAAUAGUAUUUUAUAAGGUCGGGCUUUACACUUUGCUUUAUUGAGAUUGUUUUUUGUGUUAUAUUUGAGUUAGAUAUUUUCUAUUUUCCAACUAAAAAAUUAAUUUGAUCUUAGCUUCAUAGAUAUUUUUAUUUCAAUCUUCUACAGUAUUUCUUUCUUUUUUUUUAAUUGUGUGAAAUCAAUUUUACUAUCUUAACAUGGAUGGAGAUGGAGAUGGAGAUGGAGAUGGAGAUGGAGAUGAAGAAGAAGAAGUUGAAGGCGAAGACAAAGAAACUUUUAAUGAUGAUAGUGACAAUAAUGAAGACCAUGAGUUGUUUAUUUUGAAAGUGAUUGCUGGUAGACAUAUAUGAUAUUGAUUUUGUAUCUUUUGUUACACAGUUGUUUAAUUUAGUUAUUAAUAUUGAAAGAUCUUGACAUGUUAUAAAAUUAUUAUAGUUUAUAUUUUCAAUUGUUGAAAUGAAAUUUUAUAAUGGCAUAUUUUAUUGUACACAUGAUUAGAAAUUACUCUUGAUUAUUGUAAUUUGAUGCUUUUUCAACGAAAAAUUUUGUUAGAAAUUUUUUAUGGAAUUUCGUUGGAAAUUUCGGAUGAAAUUUUGUUGGCAUUUUUUAACGAAAUUUUGUUUGAAAAGAAUUUUCAAUAGAAUUUUCAUUGAAAAUUUUUAACAGAAUUUCGUUAUAAAUUUUCAAUGGAAUUGUUACUAUAUAGUUGACGGAUUUUUUUUUUUUUUGUCAGAAAGUUUCAAUGGAUUUUCAACGGAAAAUAUUUUUAACGGGGUUUUUAUCAACGAAAUUUUUAAUGAAUUUUUUAUUGAAAAUUCAUCAAAAAAAGUUAUUUUCAACAAAAUUUUGACUUUUUUCAAUAAAAAUUUUAUUAAAAAAAACUUGUUUUUUGAUAGUGUUAAUUCAACACAAAACUUGUUAAUAUGUUUUUUUCUCAGUUUUAUAAAAUAUUUUUCACUUGAUAGUCAUAUCCAAUUAUUAUUAGCAGUGGUCAAGAGAAAACGUUAAUGUAAACUAGCUAGUUCUACCAACAGCCAUCAAUCAAAAGAAAUAAAUGAAUAAUUUUACUAGGUUUGCAUGAGGGAUACCCUAACCUGCCAACCAUCGAUUGAUCCGAUAACUGUCAUAGGAUAAUCGGUACUUAUGUUGAUCAGCUAAACAAAUCAUCUAGUCAAAUUCGUAGAUAUUUUCAAAUUUCAAAUUAAAUCAAUGAUAUAUAUGAUCCAAGUAUUAAAUUAAUGUUGAUCUAAUUUGACUCACAUUCAAAAAAUUAUAUUAAAUUAAAACCACUUAAAUGUGGAUAAUAGUAUUUGAAUCUUGAUUUUAAGGAAAAAAGCCUUUAAAAGCAUCAUGUUUGUACAUAUCGUCAUAACGUGUUUACUUCUCUAUAUAACAAUGUAAAUUCCAAGAAAUUAAAUGUAAUUGACUUAAAUACCCUUAUCAAAUUAUUAAAUUAAAAAGUUAUCAGUUAAAUAUUUUUAUAACCAAUUAAAUUAUCUUAUCUUAAAAGCAUAUAACUUUUAUUGCUUUAUUUUUUCUUUAGACUUCUUUUGAAACAUUAUGACUACCAUGAGAAUUAAAAUUCAUAUUACCUACACCGAUCCUUGACGGGCUCGACUUUAAGCAACUUGACGGUGAGGGGUGGCAGGUUUGGAGGGGAUAGCUACUAUGAGUGAGGAAUACGGUAUGGGAGUGUAGAGGCUCUAACGCUCUAAGACUCAAUGGAUUCAACUUCAACUUCUUCAAACGCACUUGAAAUGUGAUAGGAAGAUAAGUUCAUGAGUUUGUUGUGAAUUUUAUGGUGACGGGAAGCUUGAGAAAGGGUUUAAUCCAUCUUUCAUAGCACUCAUUCUUGAGGUGGAGAGCCCUAAUGAGUUGAAGGACAUUCGACCCAUUGGCUUGAUCAAUUCCCUCUACAAAGUCAGUGUGAAGCUUCUUGCUAAUAGGAUGAAAAGGUAAUGCAUUGGGUGAUUAGUGAUAACUAAAGUGUUUUAAUUGGGGAUGCCAACUUCAAGAUGGGGUGAUGUUAGCUAAUAAGAUUAUACAUAGUAUGAAAAUAAAGAUUGGUACUGGUGGGGGUUAAGGGCAAAGUUCAUUAACUUUUGUUGAGGGUGUCAAAGAUAAAAAAGAAUAAAGGUUAAUAGUUUUUAAAACUAAUAUGUUGAACUUAACCAAUAAUUCUUUGGGAUUGAACUUGGAUAUUUUGAUUCAGAUUGCUCUUGUUUAUGAAUUAAAGCAUAGAAGUUUGGUGGCUCAAGUGUAAGAGAACCAUUUGGACAAUUUACCUCUUGUUUUCAAUUUACUUAUACUUUAAUCAAAUUUUUAAAAAAAUUAAUACAAACAAUAUUCAAUAUUCUUAUUUUAUUUUUAUUUAAAUUUAAAAUAUUAAGUAUAAAACUAUAAUGUAUAAAAUAUAAAUAGUUAAAUACGAUAUAUAAGAUUUCAUAUAAUGGUUAAAUAUAAAAAUAGUUAAAUAAUAUAAAUAGGGAAAAAAAGAUAAAUGAAAACUUUAUCUGCUUUUAAUUUCACACAAUGCCAGUGAGUGGUCUCGUCUUAUCUUGUCUAAGCUAAUAAGCUCAUAAAUCUCUUUUGAAAAAUGAAGUGCAUUUCAAUGUUGAGUUACAUAGAACAGAAUAAAGCAAAAAUAAAAAGACAAAACAGAAUAGAAAAAGCAAAAAAAGAGAAAGAGAAAGAGGUGAGAAGAAACUUUAGAAUUAAGAUAAAAUUGAGUAGAGUUUGUGAGGUCAAUUUAUUAUUAUUUUUAUUUAUAUUAAUUAUUAAAACAAAAAAAUAUUUUGAGAGAAUCAUUUAAAAAUAUAUAAUAAAUAAAAAAUUUUAAAAUAAUAUUAAAAAUUUUAAAAUAUAUAUAAUAAAUAAAAAAUUUUAAAAAUUUUGAGAAUUGUAAUACAUUAUCCUUAGCCCCUGGUGGUGGUGUUAUGAUUAAGCUUGAUUUUGAGAAGACCUAUUAUUGUAUUGAUUGGGUUUCUUAAUUUUUGUGAUGUGGAAGAUGGGGUUUGGAGAAAAAUGAAGGACGUGGGUGUAUGAAUGCAUCUUUACAAUGCGAGUGGCAAUAUUGGUAAAUGGUUUUCCUACCUUGGAAUUUCCAAUGUUUAGAGACCUUAGGUGUAAUACCUUGUACUUUGAUAUGAUGGCUAAUAAAACUUAUCAGAUGCCAAUUGAGGUUAAUUAGAAUGUUUAAAAGUGAUGAAAAGAAUAGGUUAGAGAAAAAUAUGUUGCAUGCGAAGAAAUAAUAAUUAAAUAAUAAUAUUUUUUUAUUGAGGAUGAAUUAGCGAGAAAAAAAGUGAUUUGAAAAUGAAUCGGGGUAUAACAAGGUGUUUUGGGUGCAAAGGAGAUAAGUGAAAAUAUUUUAAAUAAAAUAAUAUUUUAUUAAUAAAAUAAUAUUAAAAAUAUUAAUAUUUUAUUCGAUGUCAAAAUUUCUAUGAAGGAGGAAUAUAUGGUCAAUCUAAAUGGGGGAGAUGAGGAACAAGGAAAUUUCAGAGAAAAAUGGCAUUAAUAGGGCUCGUAUGUCUUUAUUAAAUAAAGGUAACGCGGUUAAAUAAAUAUUUUAAAUAUUAUGAGAAUACUGCGUUGGAGUACAAACUUUAUAUUUCGUUUGUACAUGUGUAAAAGAAGAUAAUAGGAGGAAAUUGAGAUUUAAAAGAAGGUUGGGAGGACUAAAUUGAAAGGAUGAGAACUUAUGAGGGCAAAACGAUAAUUUUCCUAUCAUGCUUGGUCAAAGCUUCCAAAGGAAGCUUUGACCCUUCAUCCUUGUCUUUGAUUAAUCCUUAUCUCUUCAAGAUGACCUUUUUUCUUCUCCAUCUCCCUCCUCCCACGCCAUUUCCAUACUACCACCCUAUUUUCACUUUACCCCAUGCAAUUGAAGAGAAAAAUAGAGAGAAUCGGCUAAGGAAAGAAAUGAGAGAAAGGUGGAAGGCUUCGGUAGUAAGUGGUUCAAGAGAAUUUGAAAAAAUAUCAAGUGGGUCUCAAGAUUCAAGAAACAUAAGGUAAGGAUUUUUGUGUUUUAAGUUCGUGGUUGGUUAAAUCCUUAGAAAAAUAAUGUGUGAAUCAUUUUGUGGCAGCUAUGGUGACCAUGGGUGUGAGGAAAUUAUGUAUUUUAUUAGGUGAAAUUCAAGUUAAAACCAAGUGGUAAGCUUAAUGCUACAAUUUGAAGCUUAUGAUUGGUUUAAUAUGGUGAGAAUGAUUGUAUGCAAAUGUAGUGUUAUUAUGAUGUCAUGGGUAUGGUUGGAAGGCAAUCAUAUUAAUUGGAAGUUUGGUGUGUAGAUAUAUGUUGUUAGGAAAGGUUUAAAAGGUUAUGGAUGUUGGUGUGCAUAAAUGAAUAUUAAUGUUAUGCUUGGUGGUAACAUGUAAAUGAGGAUGGUGGUACAUGUAAACUUGAAAAAUGUUUGAUGGAAGUAAAUUUAUAGUUGCUACCAUAUGCUAGGUAAUUAUUAUGAAAAUGAUGGAUAAACUUGAUAAAUAUCCUUAGACAAGAUUUAUAUAUGUGCUAGAGUCAUAAAUAAGUUACCAGUAUCCAUAAUCUAAAGAAUUACGCAAGUAAACGAUAAAGGCCACUUUGGUAAAGAACAUGUCAAGAUAUAAGUUAAUUGAAUAAAGAUUCAUGAUUGAAGGAAAAAGAGAAGUAGAAAUGAGGUACACUAAAGAUAUUGAAUUUGGAUUGUUGUAGGAAGUACAAAAGUAAAGGUAGUUUACUGUAGUAGCGUGUCGGAGGAAAUAACGAGCAACCGGGAAGUAGAAAUAGCUAGAUAUACCUCCGAACUAAUAGCGAUGUAACAUCCCGCUAUCGUAAGGUGAGUGAACUUGCAUUAAAAUGUUUUGGGAUAAAUGCAUAUGUGUUUAAUUGAAUCACCUGAAAUGUUUUAUUGGAUUUUUUUUUUAAAACAUGCAUGGGAAUAAGCCCUUGAUGAAAUGUUUUUAUGUGGUAAAUUAUGUGAUAUAAUGAAACCAUGUGUUCCUAUUUUAUGUGGAUAUGUGUGUUAUGCUUUGAGUGAUAAUGUUAUAUAAUAGCUACAACCGUGCACGUGAUGGUGCCGGUGCGGUGUGGGAGUGUACAUGCUCAUAAUGAUGUGGGCGGGAAUGCGUGUGAUGAUAUUGAAAUAUGCGUGUAGGGAGUGUACAUGUGUGUGUGUGUGUGUGUGUAUGCUAUAGACAAGUUAUGAAAAUAAAAAAAAAUGUGAUUGUACUAUAUGCUAUGGAAUGGCUUUUCACUGUAGCGAGAAACCCUCCGAUUGCUUGUCUUAAUUGGAUAUUUGCUUUAGUCUUUACUCUUUUCAACUCCAUUGUGGAUUAUAAAUCCUUCACCCUAAGGGAUUAAAUAAUCAAGGGUUGAAUUAAGGGCUAUACAAGAAAUUAAACUAAAUUGCAUUGUUUUUAAACAAGUGCAUCAUGUUUUCGGAAAGCUCUCUGUAUCGUUUGCUUUUUCCCUUUCUAUGUUCACUCAUUGAGUUUAUACUCAUUAUUUUCAACUUCAUGUUUUAGUUUUCAGGUUCGAAGGUAGUUUGAUUCUUAGGUCGGGGUGCUUCCUUUUAUCUAUUUUUCGAUAGGUCGCCUUGACACUAAAUGUUAGCACCCACGUCCAGAGUCACUCCGCUGGUAGUCAAGGUCUUUAUAUAUGCACAUAUAUACUUGAAGUGAAUUGUUAAGAUACAUUUGACAAACUAUCUAUGUAUUUUUUGAUUUAUGGUUCCAAUGUGAGUAUUUACUUGGGUUAUAUGAAUUGUCUUUGAAGAAAUUGGCAUUUAAACCUUAUUAAAUAAAGAUCUUAAAGAGAUAUGGAUGAUAGAUGGACGAAUGUACGAGUUCAUAUAAAAAGGCUUGCUUGGGCCUAUUGGGCUGUGCUUAUUGGGUCCUUGCGCCGAUCAUAACCCGAAAAUUGAACUGUGACAUUAGGCAAGGGGAUCUAUUAUCACCUUUUCUUUUCCUCAUGGUUGUGAAGGCUUUGCAUCCCUUAUUUGUUAGAGGGGAGAAUUUACAUAUGUUUUGAGGGGUGUCGGUCACAAAUAAUGGGAUGAGUAUAUCACACAUGUAGUUUGCUGAUAACAAUAUCCUUUUAAGUUUAACUCAAUUCAAGUUCAAAUAAGUUUCAAGUUAUUUGAUAUUUUAAGUUGUCUUUAUUUAAUCAAAUAAAUUUUUUUCGAUUCAAUAGAAUGAUUUUGCACCAUACAUAAUAUAUUAAUUUUUAAUAUAGAAUUCUAACAAAAUGUUUAAAUUUAAAUUCUUCAUAAUGAACAAAUAGUUACAUAAAAAUUAAUAGGGGCGGAGUCGAGUGCAUUUUUAAGUGGCUGUGGUCCCCCAAAAUCUUUAAAAUAUUACAAAUAUAUAUAUUUAUUUGUUUUUUUAAAAGAUAUAUAUUUUUUUGUCUUAAUGGCUCUCUCAAAAAUUUUUACCUUUAUUCUUCUUCGUCUUUGACCUUAAUAUCAAUAAAAGUUAGCUAGUUCUGCCCAUGAUACUUAUAAACAAUAACUUAACAAAUUGAUCAAAAGUAUUUUAUCUAAUAUCAGCAAUUAGACAUUAUUUAUAUGUGAAAAUAAUGAAUCUGCGGAGGAAAACUCCAAAUAACAAUGUAUUAUUUUGCUUUUAAUUAACUUUAGUUUACGUUUCCAUUAUAAAUGAAAAAUUACAUUAACAUUUGAUCAAAUUUAUAUUAUAGAUUAAAUUUGUCACGACCCGGAACUCCCAUCGGGCCCGUGACAACCCCGCGACGUCCCGAUAAGCACUUAUUACCCCGAAUGCCGAUCGAAACCCCAUAAGGCUUAGCAUCAACUUCCGCAUCUCCCUGGUGAGCGACAGUUAUUAAAUCUCGCAUUUCAAGAAAUCAUAAGUUGUUUCCAACUCAAUACAAUAAAAUAUUAUUUUCUAGCUCACAGAGGCAUUUUCGUCAUUUUUUUUGAAAUUUCGAAAUCCGUAAAAAUGUAAUAUGUAAGUGAAAACACAUAUUUCAUGAUUUAUAUUAAAUUUUGAAGUCUAAAACAUUCCUUUAAAGUAAAAUUAUAGCUAUUUGAAUAUAAUAAAAAUAUUAAAUAAAAUAUUCUAUUUUCUUAAAACACAAUAUUUUCAAAGUUUUCCUAAAAUAACUUUUGUAGUGUAAGAGUAAAAUAAAUUUAUUCAUAUAGUAAUAAAGAUAAUUAAAGUAUGAAAUUUCGUUUACAAUGACACGUGGGCCCCUAACUAACCAAGAAAGUGUAAAGCUACGAACCCUUACUUCCUAUGAUGCAACUCCGAGAUUAAUUCUCGUCUUAAUCAACUAUCAACAAACUGUCUUGAGCUUGAAAAAUGGAUAGGAAGAAGGGUGAGAUUAUGAUUACAUAAUCCCAAUGAGUAAACAAUUACCAUCAAAAGCAUUUAAACCUAAGUAGAUGGAGACAAUAUAAAAACGUUAUAUCUCAAUAAUGUUCAUAACACAAAAUUCGUUUCAAUCUAUACCAAAUAAUUUCUUUUCAUCAAAAUUUCCCGGCUUAUAAAUUUCUUAAACUUGGCCCCUGCCAGAAUUAUUCUCGCUUGUACCUUCAUCAAGGCAUCCCACUGAGACCGCCAAGGCUGUUCAAUGACCCAUACCCAUAAACAUGUUUUCACAUCUAACACACAGUCAUUCCUUGGCGUUGGCUGAGUCUCACUCUCACGUGGUGGCUCGAACGUGAGGUGCACUCAAAUCAUACCUCAAGAGAUACUUCACCCAACAUCUCCCCUCAGAGGUAAAUAUAUAAUUGAGUUAUCGUGCUCCUCUCAUAGGCAGUCCACGGAAACCCCCACCACUAUAGUGACCGUUUAAUAUACCACCAGACCCAUAAAAUUUCCAGUAGCAUAAGAUGGUGAAUAAAAUUUAAUCCAGUCUACCGAGACCAAUCCAAAACUGUUCAUAUAUUUCAUGCCAACCCCAAAAAUUUAGUCAUCAUGCUACCAUAGUGUCAUAAGCCCCAAUUUCAAUAACAUAUAAAAUCAUAAAUUUCAACACAGUCUCCAUAUACUCAAUUUUUCCAAAACAAUAUUUGAUUUUAAAAUCAGUAUAAAUCUCAUUUUUAUUAAAAACAUUUUAAUUGGAAAACAUAAUAUUUUAUAAUUUAACUCACCAUUCAAUAAAAGCAUCAAACAAGUAUAAUUACUCUAGAUAUUUAAGACGAUAAAUUGUCCACUCACAGUUCUAGGAGUUGAUGCACUCCUAAUCCCAGUCUUCAAGCACAAUCUCUGUACUUUUACCAGUGUAAUUUGCUCACCACCUAUCCACAAUGUACAAUACAUAAUUCACCACAUCAAUGCUUGACCAUUACAAAAUCAAUUUAGGCUCGGUAUAUAUGCAUGAUAUGAUAUACAACUUAUCCGACUAUAGCUUAAAUGCGGUGCUGACCUAAUUCGACCUAUUACCUGAUUAAAUCGAUACACGCGUCCUUUUAAACUCCAAAUUAAUUUUUUUCAGUUUCUAUACCUCAAUUGCACUCAAAUUGACUUAAUGUCCCUCAGGGUGGUGCAAAUUAUCAGUCUCAGUAGCAAAUUACGAAAAUACCCCUAAUGGGUAAAAAUUCAUAUUUUUGCUUCAAAAAUUUCCAUUAUUUUUCUAGACUCGUAAUUCAUCAUUAUUCAUCAUAAUUCCUCAAAUAAACAUCAAGAUCAUCAGCCAAUAUUCCCCUAGAAAAUUCGGCCAAUAAUGGUAAUAGAGGAAAAUAAAUUCUUUUCUUGUUGUUUUGUUCCUAAAUAUACUAAACUAACUUAAAACACUAACAUAACUUAAAAUCAAAUUAAUCUAACAAGUUUCUCUCUCCUAACCCAUUUUUCAGAAUUGAAUUCAUCGUAAUAACUCAAUAUUCAACCAUUAAAAUCAAGAACAAAAACAUGGGUAAGCUAGGUAUCAAGGAGAACUAAAGAAAUUCUAACUUAUCUAGCUUGUUUUCUUGAUUUCUUAACUUUUUCUUUGAAUUUUCACAUAGGUUUUCUUGUUUUUCCCUUUGUUCUUCCUCUCUUUCUCUCUCUUCCUUGCUUGGCCGGCCAUAUGAAGAAAAUAGGCUGAUUUUAUGCCUUUUUAAUAAGAAACAAUAAAAUAAUAAAGGUAUAGCACAUGUCAUUUUCUUAUUGAUUCAUUUUUAAAAUUUUAAAAUUUUAAUCCUUUUUAUCUCCACCACACAAUUAGUUAAUGGUCAAAAUGAGGAUAAAAGAAGACCAUGUGCUGAAAAAAUAUCCUGGUGGUGGAAAAUUACAAUUUUGCCCCUAGGGUAGCAAAAUUAUCAUUUUACCUUUUUACUCCAAAUUAUACCGAAAUUAAAAUUUUUCACUUCUAAACCUCAAAUCUUACUCCAAUAAGUCAAAUGGGGCCAAAAUAAUCUUUUCUAAAAUUCUCAUUUUAUCUCCAAGUGGCAAAUGACCAUUUUGCCCCUAGAUAGCGAAAAUUUCGGUUUGACUCCAAAUUGAUCCUCAAACUCCGAAUCACCAUAUUAAACUAUUUUGAGAUUUUAAAAUUCUUAAUUUCAUUUUAAAAUUUCUAUCUGAACUAGUUCGAGGCUUAAUCGACUUAAUGAUACCAUUAGGGGCAAUAUCGUCUUUCAACGAUUUUCUCAAACUUUCUAAAUAUGUAACCAUUCUAUUGAGCAUGUAAAUGACGUCGUAAUUAUUUUAUAAAACAGGAUUUGACAAAAUUUCUAUAUUCAUCGUCAUUAUCAAAAUUAUUUUAUAAUUAAUUUUUUUAAAUAAAUGUACUUACACGUCCAAUGCACUUGUAGAGGUACUAGUAUUUAUUUAAAUAAUAUAAUUACCAAUUAUAUAAAAAAGAAUAUUAUUGUUUUAAUAUAUAGUUAUAUAUUAUUAUAUAUAAAAAUGAUGUUUAAAUAAAAGAUAAAAAUGCGAACCAACUCGACGACUUGACUUGAUACUUUCUUUUUCCGGGUCACUUUUAUGGGACUGGUUUGAUAAGUGUGCUGUGUCUCCAUAAAUAGUGAAAGAGUCCUAUUGAAUUUAUGAUUGGCCAAUAGAGUUGGUGAGAAUAAUUCAGAUAAAUAAAUGUCGCACAACUUUGCCUUUUCCAGUCCCUUUAUUUUGCAGGCUUAUAUUUGAUUUUCUUCGUUAAACUUAAACGUUCCAGAAAUUUUGACAUUGAACCUAAAAGUGAUCAACAUUGAACCUUUAAUUAGAAAUUAAACCAAAAGAAGAUUAAAUCUCUACGUACCUGACAUACGUGUCAGCCAAAAGAAUAACCAUAUGGAAAAUUACAUACUCCACAGUUGGAACCAUAAUAAUUAACCAGAUGAUAGAUGUUGAUAUAAACUUGCAAAACGAUCACGAUACAUCUAAGAUCUAAGAUGUAACUAGUGGGGAUAAAAGGGAGACAAAAGAACAAAUAAAAAAAAAAAAAAGCUUGACGGAGGGGACAUGGAGGGGGAGAUUUUAUACCCAGUAAUCACUACAGUUAUAUAGGCAACUGAACACUGGCAAAUCAACUACUCAUUUGUAUCGUAUUUGGUGGCAGCCACGAUUGAACGUACUUCCGUGACAAUUUUCAGAUCUUUUAACACCCUUAUUACCCUGUGGAGUGCAUUUGUAGCCGUACUUGUCUCGACCGCAAGCUGCGUCGGCAGGAUGAAGGGUAUUAGUCGAAGGUCUACCUCCCUGCUGCCGCAUUUUUCUCAUUUCAAGAACCAUUUUGCUUGUUUCCGACUCCAUCAAGAACUCAAAUCCUAAGUCGACCUCAUUCUGACGGAAGCAUUCGUGGGAUGAGAGGUUGCAGUGGAAGAAGCUGCGGCUACUGCUCUCUGGUGAACCGAUUGCAGAAUGGUUCGUGCUCGAUAGAUUAAUUAUCAUAGUAGUCAAAACAAUUGCUAGAUAUAACCCUGUCUUUUGAAGGUCUCCCAUGUUGUUCCUCGUCUGCCAAAUUUCUUUUUCCUUAGCGCUUCUACCACUAUUUUGGUAGUGGCUGAUUAGGUGCUACAGGGACCAAGUGGCGUGGGUGAUUUGACUUUCUGCCAUAGACACAGAAAAAGUUGUGGCCACAAAACUGAGCACGUGCGAUUGAUUUAAUGAUCUGCCGACAUGUUUUUUUGCUUUCAAUGUUGUUGUGUCAUAAAUAUGGGAUACUGCUUGAGCCAUCAUGCCCCUGCUAC